AUUCAUAUCUGACUUCCGACUUUAGUCUCUUAAAGUUAUUGAUUAACCAGUUAACAAUGUUUUUGAAUGGAUAGUGGUAUAAGUUAUUCUUACCCAACAGAGAGAAGGAUGCAGGGUGGUGAUAUUCGAUAUAACAUGAUGACUACAAGCAGUUUAUUUCGGGAAGCUCAGGACGAAGAAAUGGAGCUCAAAGUAAAAAAAGUUGCUGAAAGACUAUCUGAGAGUAUGAAUAUUGUAGCAAAUGAACCUUCUUUAGCUUUUUUCCGCAUCCAGGAACAUGUGAGAAAAUCUUUACCACAGCUUGUGGAGCAAAAGCAUGAAGUGAUUGAGACUCAGCAGAAAGUUCAAGGUGCAAGUUUUGACACUGAAUAUGCCACACAUGCUGUCAAAAGCCUCCACAAGAGCAGUGUACACUUCCAAAAUAUUCAAGAAUUGAUGAAGAAUGCCAUGUUUAUGAAGCAACAGAUCGAUUAUGAGGAAGAUAGAAAGUAUACCAAAUACUGAUACCAAUUCAAAAAAUGCAAAAUGGAGAUACCCUGGUAAUCAUAUUUGGGAAAAUCCUUUAAAUUUCUGCUUCACAUAUCAUUAUGAAUUAGCACAUAGAUUUGAAACGGUCUGACUCACUCUGGAUUAAUUAAUGUUUGAGUAAUUGAAACCACAGACUCCAGAAAAAAGCCCAAUCUACCAAACACAAAACUGCACGGGAUGAUAUUGAGGUGUCUGUGUCCAGGAAUGUUAAAGAAAUGGCCACUUCUAAGUCAGACAACCAGUUGUAAGAGACAAGCAUGUUUGUGCAUGUCCUAACCGUCCCCACUUAUGUAUUGAUGUGUUGAGUUCAAUACUUUGUGUGUAGAUUAUGUGCAGCAUCCCUGCAUUUAAUACAGUUAUAAAAAUCAAUGUUCUUGUGUGUGUAAUUAACAUGAAGAAGUCACUUCAAGUAAAAUUUAGUAAAAAUCAGUGAAAUAUGUGUAAACCUGGUGGUGUAAAAAUAAGUGAUUCGUAAAUUUAACAUAUUUGUAUUCAUGUUCUCCCUCGAUCAGCAGAGAAGUUUGCUGAAUAUAACUUUUUGACUUGCACACUUUAAUUAAAGCUGAAAAUGACUUGUAAAUCGAGAUAUUUCUCUUUGGUUACCUGUAUUAGCUUCUAACUGUGUCAAGAUUUGAAAUAUUUUGUUGCACAGCUUUCACUUGACCUGUAAUGACAUACAUUCUUACAUCGCCAUUGUUACUCAAUUACAAUAAAAUAUUACCGGCCAAAAAAAUGUAAUUUUCCACAUUAAAGAGUAACAUUUGUUGUAAAGGAGAAUGCACUACCACAAACAAAAAAUGCAUGAAAAAAAACCUAAGAUAUGGAAAGAAAUACUUUACAUUGGCCAUGUGUUCCAGAUGUGCAAUCAGAUGUAACAAAUGCAAUAGGGUUCAUGUAUAUAUAUUCUUAUGUUGAUAUUGGGGAUAGGGAGGCUCGUAGUAAUUUUCAUGUUAUGUUCAGCCUGUUUGUAUGUACAUGUAUUCACAGUUUGAUGUUUUGUUCAUAUACAUCAGUAAUGAAUGAAAAGUAUAUAUUACAUGUUUAUAUGGAUUCAUCUUCCCGGAGAUUGAAUUCUUAAUUAUUUACAAUGGCUUAUAUGUGUUUUAAAGUUUGAUGUUUUCAGUUUUUCAGUUUUCAUUACAUGUAAUUGAAAAACAAGGUGAAAUACAGACAAACUAACUUUUCUAUCUGAAUGUGUUUGACUGAAUUGUUCUUUACUAUAGGUGUAGCGGAAUGAAAAAAAAAGUUAUACUGUUUUGAAUUUACAUGUUUAAAUUUUCUUACAUUGCUUAGUUUGCAGGUUUAAAUAUUUAUCUCUCUGAAUAUAAGUUACCAUAG
rnacentral:misc_RNA from 1 species